rnacentral:rRNA from 1 species
GGACAGUGCAUGGUAGGCAGUUUGACUGGGGCGGUCUCCUCCCAAAGCGUAACGGAGGAGUACGAAGGUACGCUAGGUACGGUCGGAAAUCGUGCUGAUAGUGCAAUGGCAUAAGCGUGCUUAACUGCGAGACCGACAAGUCGAGCAGGUGCGAAAGCAGGUCAUAGUGAUCCGGUGGUUCUGUAUGGAAGGGCCAUCGCUCAACGGAUAAAAGGUACUCUGGGGAUAACAGGCUGAUACCGCCCAAGAGUUCAUAUCGACGGCGGUGUUUGGCACCUCGAUGUCGGCUCAUCUCAUCCUGGGGCUGUAGCCGGUCCCAAGGGUAUGGCUGUUCGCCAUUUAAAGAGGUACGUGAGCUGGGUUUAAAACGUCGUGAGACAGUUUGGUCCCUAUCUGCCGUGGGCGUUGGAUAUUUGAAGGGGGCUGCUCCUAGUACGAGAGGACCGGAGUGGACGAACCUCUGGUGUACCGGUUGUGACGCCAGUCGCAUCGCCGGGUAGCUAUGUUCGGAAGAGAUAACCGCUGAAAGCAUCUAAGCGGGAAACUCGCCUUAAGAUGAGAUAUCCCUGGAGGCUUGACCUCCUUGAAGGGUCGUUCGAGACCAGGACGUUGAUAGGUCAGGUGUGUAAGCGCAGUAAUGCGUUCAGCUAACUGAUACUAAUUGCCCGUAAGGCUUGAUCCUAUAACA